AACGAACGCUGGCGGCAGACUUAACACAUGCAAGUCGAGCGCCCCGCAAGGGGAGCGGCAGACGGGUGAGUAACGCGUGGGAAUCUACCCAUCUCUACGGAAUAACGCAUGGAAACGUGUACUAAUACCGUAUACGUCCUUCGGGAGAAAGAUUUAUCGGAGAUGGAUGAGCCCGCGUUGGAUUAGCUAGUUGGUGGGGUAAAGGCCUACCAAGGCGACGAUCCAUAGCUGGUCUGAGAGGAUGAUUAGCCACACUGGGACUGAGACACGGCCCAGACUCCUACGGGAGGCAGCAGUGGGGAAUAUUGGACAAUGGGCGCAAGCCUGAUCCAGCCAUGCCGCGUGAGUGAUGAAGGCCCUAGGGUUGUAAAGCUCUUUCACCGGUGAAGAUAAUGACGGUAACCGGAGAAGAAGCCCCGGCUAACUUCGUGCCAGCCGCCGCCGUAAAAC
rnacentral:rRNA from 1 species